UACGGAAGGCAGCAGUGGGGAAUAUUGCACAAUGGGCGAAAGCCUGAUGCAGCUAUGCCGCGUGUAUGAAGAAGGCCUUAGGGUUGUAAAGUACUUUCAUCGGGGAGGAAAAACAAAACUAAUAAUUUUAUUUCUUGACGUUACCCGAAAAAGAAGCACCGGCUAACUCCGUGCCAGCAGCCGCGGUAAUACGGAGGGUGCUAGCGUUAAUCAGAAUUACUGGGCGUAAAGAGCACGUAGGUGGUUUUUUUAAGUUCAGAUGUGAAAUCCCUGGGCUUAACCUAGGAACUGCAUUUUAAAACUGAAAUACUAGAGUAUCGUAGAGGGAGGUAGAAUUCUAGGUGUAGCGGUGAAAUGCGUAGAUAUCUGGAGGAAUACCUGUGGCGAAAGCGGCCUCCUAAACGAAUACUGACACUGAGGGUGCGAAAGCGUGGGGAGCAAACAGGGAUUAGAUACC
rnacentral:rRNA from 1 species